GAGUUUGAUCGUGGCUCAGAUUGAACGCUGGCGGCAGGCCUAACACAUGCAAGUCGAACGGUAACAGGAAACAGCUUGCUGUUUCGCUGACGAGUGGCGGACGGGUGAGUAAUGUCUGGGAAACUGCCUGAUGGAGGGGGAUAACUACUGGAAACGGUAGCUAAUACCGCAUAACGUCGCAAGACCAAAGAGGGGGACCUUCGGGCCUCUUGCCAUCGGAUGUGCCCAGAUGGGAUUAGCUAGUAGGUGGGGUAACGGCUCACCUAGGCGACGAUCCCUAGCUGGUCUGAGAGGAUGACCAGCCACACUGGAACUGAGACACGGUCCAGACUCCUACGGGAGCAGCAGUGGGAAUAUUGCACAAUGGGCGCAAGCCUGAUGCAGCCAUGCCGCGUGUAUGAAGAGGCC
rnacentral:rRNA from 1 species